rnacentral:misc_RNA from 1 species
GAAAUGCGAUAAGUAAUGUGAAUUGCAGAAUUCAGUGAAUCAUCGAAUCUUUGAACGCACAUUGCGCCCGCCAGUAUUCUGGCGGGCAUGCCUGUUCGAGCGUCAUUACAACCCUCAGGCCCCCGGGCCUGGCGUUGGGGAUCGGCGGAAGCCCCCUGCGGGCACAACGCCGUCCCCCAAAUACAGUGGCGGUCCCGCCGCAGCUUCCAUUGCGUAGUAGCUAACACCUCGCAACUGGAGAGCGGCGCGGCCACGCCGUAAAACACCCAACUUCUGAAUGUUGACCCCGAAUCAGGUAGGAAUACCCGCUGAACUUAAGC